rnacentral:rRNA from 1 species
AUUGAACGCUGGCGGCAUGCCUUACACAUGCAAGUCGAACGGUAACAGGCCGCAAGGUGCUGACGAGUGGCGAACGGGUGAGUAAUACAUCGGAACGUGCCCGAUCGUGGGGGAUAACGCAGCGAAAGCUGUGCUAAUACCGCAUACGAUCUACGGAUGAAAGCGGGGGAUCGCAAGACCUCGCGCGGACGGAGCGGCCGAUGGCAGAUUAGGUAGUUGGUGGGGUAAAGGCCUACCAAGCCGACGAUCUAUAGCUGGUCUGAGAGGACGACCAGCCACACUGGGACUGAGACACGGCCCAGACUCCUACGGGAGGCAGCAGUGGGGAAUUUUGGACAAUGGGCGCAAGCCUGAUCCAGCCAUGCUGCGUGCAGGAUGAAGGCCUUCGGGUUGUAAACUGCUUUUGUACGGAACGAAAAGGUUUCUUUUAAUACAGGGAACUGAUGACGGCACCGUAAGAAUAAGCACCGGCUAACUACGUGCCAGCCGCCGCGGUAAAAC